AUGGAGAAGAAUAUUCUCACAUGCUGCCUGCCAGGGGAGGGAGUUCGGGUGAGUGGGAGAGCACAGAACCCAAUUGCCCACUCCAGUGAACACUUCCCAUCUUAUGAUUCAGCCCCUCGUGUCUACCUCUCUGGGGACCAGGAACCACACAGAGUUCCUGAGACUUCCUCUGCAACCAGUGUGGUCCUGGACCCAGACACUGCUCAUCCUGAUCUCUUUGUGUCAAAGGACAAAAGGAGUGUGACAUUGGAACCCUCCAGGGAGAGCAUGCCAGACAACCCAGAGAGAUUCAAUAGUCAGCUUUGUGGCCUGGGCCAGGAGAGCGUCUCCUCAGGGAAACAUUACUGGGAGGUGGAGGUGGAAAGCGUGAUUGAGUGGACUGUGGGGAUCUGUAGAGACAAUGUUGAGAGGAAAUGGGAGGUCCCGCUGCUUCCUCAGAAUGGCUUCUGGACCUUGGAGACGCAUAAAAGGAAAUACUGGGCCCUGACCUCCCCUAAGUGGCUUCUCUCUCUGGAGGAGCCCCUUUGCCAGUCUUCCUGGACUAUGAAGCUGGAGACGUCUCCUUCUACAACAUAAGGAACAGAUCACGCAUCUACACAUUUCCCCAUUCAGCCUUUUCUGUGCCUAUGAGGCCCUUGUUCAGCUUAGGCCCUUGACAGUCGCAUCUUAAUCUGCUCCGCAUUCACAGGAGCCAGUAGGGUCACGGUGCCUGAAGAGGGCCGGACACUUCACAGAGCAGAGACCCACCACAGCCCACAGAAUCAGUUCCCUGUCUCACAGCCAUGGAGAUAAGCCCUGGCCAUCUGCACAAUGCACAAUGCCCCUGGUGGAAGACAUGCCCUCCUCCCCUCUGGUCACACAAGAGAACCUCUUCCAGCUGCCUCUUUCACACCCACUCCAGACCUCAGCCCCUGUUCACCUCCUCAUUAGGUGUGGCUUUAGUAGUUCCUUUGAUUUUAACUAUGAGACGGGAACAACUAGUUGUUCCACGGCUCCCAGCCAGGAAGAAACUGUGAGAAGCUGAUUGGUAGUGAACCUGCUGUUUAACAUCAGGGUGGCCACAUUGAGCCCAGUAUGCCAGUUGGCACCAGAUGCUGUGGACUUGGAAUGAGGCCAAGAGGAGUUGCCAGAAUAUGAGAGGAGGGAGGAAUCCAUAGGACCAGCAGAGGGAAGAGGGAACCAGAUACGUAGGUCAGAGAUAGAGGAAGUGGAAUCAGAGAGCUGGGAGGGACCAAGGUUGUAAGGAUGGCUAAGUCCCACUAUAACAACUAAGGGGUCCCAGGAGAUGAUGGCUGGUUUCCACCCAACCAGCCAUCAUCUCCAACCAGGAUUUCCACAGCAUACACCCACAGGCCUGGACCUGGGACGAAGAUGAAUGAAGAACAUGGACUCAUGUGGAUGUGGUUUGGCUCACGUAUCCCUGCAAUAAACAAGGAGUCAGUACGCAGUCCUUGGGUGUGGUUGAGGUUUGAGGUCCUGGUUGAGCAGGGCAGUAGUGGACCAGGUCUGCCACAGCAUUCAAGUUCAGUGGGGGCACCAGGGGCUUCAAACUUCCUGAUCUAAUUAUGUCUUUAGACAUUUAAUAACUAUUGAGGGCCUUGAGGAGCUUUUGUCUAUUCGGGUUGAUAUUUGUUAAUAUUUACAGCAUUUGACACUAAAACAGAAAAUGUUAAAAUGUUAUUUACUAAUUCAUGUUAAAAUAUGAUGAGUAAACCAAAUAUAGGUUAAUAUAAAUAGAAUAUUUUGUGAAAAAUCAACUGCUGUGUCCAAACAAAAGAACAAGAAGUGUGACAAGGGUUAACUUUUUUCAAAUCUAAUGUCUGGCUUAAUAAAAGAUGUUUGUAUUCUCAUAUCUGCUUUUAUAUUAAAUCUAUUUGUAUAUCGUAGGUUAUAUAGGCUCUAAAAAACCUUAUUGUACCCUACCGAGAGAAUGAGAUCAAAAACAACAAAUGUUAUAUUAUGAUGAUGAUGAUGAAAAUAGUAUUAACAUUGGGGACUCCUUAGGAAUAUAUCAGAGUUCUCCCUAGGAGUCCCCAGACCAUAUUUGGAAUAGAGGAUCCUGGAAGUGAAUCCAUGAGCUGCUUAAUUUUAAAUGUCAACUUGACUGGAUUAAGGAAUACCUAGACAACUGGUAUAUUAUUUCUGGGUGUGUCUGUGAGUGUGUUUCCAGAAGAGAUUGGCAUGUGAGUCAGUGGGAAAUUCUCCCCUCCUAUUGGCUGGGAGCCCAAUACGAUAAAAAGGCAGGGGAAAGGCAAAUUCUUCUUUCCCUUGAGAUAUUCUUCUUCUGCUGCUCUUGGACUUCAGAACUCCUGGCUCUCGGGCCUUUGAGACUGGGGACUUGUACCAGAAAGUCCUGGGUUCUCAGGCCUUUUUGCUUUGCACUGAGAUUUACACAAUCGGCAUCCCUAGUUCUGAGGCUUUCAGACUUAAAGUGAGCCAUGCUACCAGCAUCUCAGGGUCUCCAACCUACAGACAAGCUAUCAUGGGAUUUCUCAGCCUCCAUAAUCACAUGAGCCAAUUUCCCUAAUAAACGCCCACUCAUCAUA